CGCUAGCUACAGGCUUAACACAUGCAAGUCGAGGGGCAGCAUUUCAGUUUGCUUGCAAACUGGAGAUGGCGACCGGCGCACGGGUGAGUAACACGUAUCCAACCUGCCGAUAACUCGGGGAUAGCCUUUCGAAAGAAAGAUUAAUACCCGAUGGUAUAAUCAGACCGCAUGGUCUUGUUAUUAAAGAAUUUCGGUUAUCGAUGGGGAUGCGUUCCAUUAGGCAGUUGGUGAGGUAACGGCUCACCAAACCUUCGAUGGAUAGGGGUUCUGAGAGGAAGGUCCCCCACAUUGGAACUGAGACACGGUCCAAACUCCUACGGGAGGCAGCAGUGAGGAAUAUUGGUCAAUGGGCGCAGGCCUGAACCAGCCAAGUAGCGUGAAGGAUGACUGCCCUAUGGGUUGUAAACUUCUUUUAUAUGGGAAUAAAGUUUUCCACGUGUGGAAUUUUGUAUGUACCAUAUGAAUAAGGAUCGGCUAACUCCGUGCCAGCAGCCGCGGUAAUACGGAGGAUCCGAGCGUUAUCCGGAUUUAUUGGGUUUAAAGGGAGCGUAGGUGGACAGUUAAGUCAGUUGUGAAAGUUUGCGGCUCAACCGUAAAAUUGCAGUUGAUACUGGCUGUCUUGAGUACAGUAGAGGUGGGCGGAAUUCGUGGUGUAGCGGUGAAAUGCUUAGAUAUCACGAAGAACUCCGAUUGCGAAGGCAGCUCACUGGACUGCAACUGACACUGAUGCUCGAAAGUGUGGGUAUCAAACAGGAUUAGAUACCCUGGUAGUCCACACAGUAAACGAUGAAUACUCGCUGUUUGCGAUAUACAGUAAGCGGCCAAGCGAAAGCAUUAAGUAUUCCACCUGGGGAGUACGCCGGCAACGGUGAAACUCAAAGGAAUUGACGGGGGCCCGCACAAGCGGAGGAACAUGUGGUUUAAUUCGAUGAUACGCGAGGAACCUUACCCGGGCUUAAAUUGCAUUUGAAUAUAUUGGAAACAGUAUAGCCGUAAGGCAAAUGUGAAGGUGCUGCAUGGUUGUCGUCAGCUCGUGCCGUGAGGUGUCGGCUUAAGUGCCAUAACGAGCGCAACCCUUAUCUUUAGUUACUAACAGGUCAUGCUGAGGACUCUAGAGAGACUGCCGCCGUAAGAUGUGAGGAAGGUGGGGAUGACGUCAAAUCAGCACGGCCCUUACGUCCGGGGCUACACACGUGUUACAAUGGGGGGUACAGAAGGCAGCUACCUGGUGACAGGAUGCUAAUCCCAAAAGCCUCUCUCAGUUCGGAUCGAAGUCUGCAACCCGACUUCGUGAAGCUGGAUUCGCUAGUAAUCGCGCAUCAGCCAUGGCGCGGUGAAUAUGUUCCCGGGCCUUGUACACACCGCCCGUCAAGCCAUGAAAGCCGGGGGUACCUGAAGUACGUAACCGCAAGGAGCGUCCUAGGGUAAAACUGGUAAUUGGGGCUAA
rnacentral:rRNA from 1 species